GGAAGGCAGCCGGAUACGGUUCGCCGGGCCGGUUUGCUAAACCGCGCGGCCUUCGGGCCUUGAGGGUUCGAAUCCCUCGCCUUCCG
rnacentral:tRNA from 1 species